rnacentral:rRNA from 1 species
UUAAGCGACUAAGCGUACACGGUGGAUGCCCUGGCAGUCAGAGGCGAUGAAGGGCGUGCUAAUCUGCGAUAAGCGCCGGUAAGGUGAUAUGAACCGUUAUAACCGGCGAUACCCGAAUGGGGAAACCCAGUGUGACUCGUCACACUAUCAUUAACUGAAUCCAUAGGUUAAUGAGGCGAACCGGGGAACUGAAACAUCUAAGUACCCCGAGGAAAAGAAAUCAACCGAGAUUCCCCCAGUAGCGGCGAGCGAACGGGGAGGAGCCAGAGCCUGAAUCAGCAUGUGUGUUAGUGGAAGCGUCUGGAAAGGCGCGCGAUACAGGGGUGACAGCCCCGUACACAAAAGCGCAUGUGCUGUGAGCUCGAUGAGUAGGGCGGGACACGUGGUAUCCUGUCUGAAUAUGGGGGGACCAUCCUCCAAGGCUAAAUACUCCUGACUGACCGAUAGUGAACCAGUACCGUGAGGGAAAGGCGAAAAGAACCCCGGCGAGGGGAGUGAAAAAGAACCUGAAACCGUGUACGUACAAGCAGUGGGAGCACAGGUUUACCUGUGUGACUGCGUACCUUUUGUAUAAUGGGUCAGCGACUUAUAUUCUGUAGCAAGGUUAACCGCAUAGGGGAGCCGGAGGGAAACCGAGUCUUAAUUGGGCGUUAAGUUGCAGGGUAUAGACCCGAAACCCGGUGAUCUAGCCAUGGGCAGGUUGAAGGUUGGGUAACACUAACUGGAGGACCGAACCGACUAAUGUUGAAAAAUUAGCGGAUGACCUGUGGCUGGGGGUGAAAGGCCAAUCAAACCGGGAGAUAGCUGGUUCUCCCCGAAAGCUAUUUAGGUAGCGCCUCGUGAAUUCAUCUCCGGGGGUAGAGCACUGUUUCGGCUAGGGGGCCAUCCCGGCUUACCAACCCGAUGCAAACUGCGAAUACCGGAGAAUGUUAUCACGGGAGACACACGGCGGGUGCUAACGUCCGUCGUGAAGAGGGAAACAACCCAGACCGCCAGCUAAGGUCCCAAAGUCAUGGUUAAGUGGGAAACGAUGUGGGAAGGCCCAGACAGCCAGGAUGUUGGCUUAGAAGCAGCCAUCAUUUAAAGAAAGCGUAAUAGCUCACUGGUCGAGUCGGCCUGCGCGGAAGAUGUAACGGGGCUAAACCAUGCACCGAAGCUGCGGCAGCGACACUGUGUGUUGUUGGGUAGGGGAGCGUUCUGUAAGCCUGCGAAGGUGGCCUGUGAGGGUUGCUGGAGGUAUCAGAAGUGCGAAUGCUGACAUAAGUAACGAUAAAGCGGGUGAAAAGCCCGCUCGCCGGAAGACCAAGGGUUCCUGUCCAACGUUAAUCGGGGCAGGGUGAGUCGACCCCUAAGGCGAGGCCGAAAGGCGUAGUCGAUGGGAAACGGGUUAAUAUUCCCGUACUUGGUGUUACUGCGAAGGGGGGACGGAGAAGGCUAUGUUGGCCGGGCGACGGUUGUCCCGGUUUAAGCGUGUAGGUGUGUGUUCCAGGUAAAUCCGGUUCACUUUAACACUGAGGCGUGACGACGAGGCACUACGGUGCUGAAGCAACAAAUGCCCUGCUUCCAGGAAAAGCCUCUAAGCAUCAGGUAACAUCAAAUCGUACCCCAAACCGACACAGGUGGUCAGGUAGAGAAUACCAAGGCGCUUGAGAGAACUCGGGUGAAGGAACUAGGCAAAAUGGUGCCGUAACUUCGGGAGAAGGCACGCUGACACGUAGGUGAAGUGAUUUACUCAUGGAGCUGAAGUCAGUCGAAGAUACCAGCUGGCUGCAACUGUUUAUUAAAAACACAGCACUGUGCAAACACGAAAGUGGACGUAUACGGUGUGACGCCUGCCCGGUGCCGGAAGGUUAAUUGAUGGGGUCAGCGCAAGCGAAGCUCCUGAUCGAAGCCCCGGUAAACGGCGGCCGUAACUAUAACGGUCCUAAGGUAGCGAAAUUCCUUGUCGGGUAAGUUCCGACCUGCACGAAUGGCGUAAUGAUGGCCAGGCUGUCUCCACCCGAGACUCAGUGAAAUUGAACUCGCUGUGAAGAUGCAGUGUACCCGCGGCAAGACGGAAAGACCCCGUGAACCUUUACUAUAGCUUGACACUGAACAUUGAGCCUUGAUGUGUAGGAUAGGUGGGAGGCUUUGAAGUGUGGACGCCAGUCUGCAUGGAGCCGACCUUGAAAUACCACCCUUUAAUGUUUGAUGUUCUAACGUGGACCCGUAAUCCGGGUUGCGGACAGUGUCUGGUGGGUAGUUUGACUGGGGCGGUCUCCUCCUAAAGAGUAACGGAGGAGCACGAAGGUUGGCUAAUCCUGGUCGGACAUCAGGAGGUUAGUGCAAUGGCAUAAGCCAGCUUGACUGCGAGCGUGACGGCGCGAGCAGGUGCGAAAGCAGGUCAUAGUGAUCCGGUGGUUCUGAAUGGAAGGGCCAUCGCUCAACGGAUAAAAGGUACUCCGGGAUAACAGGCUGAUACCGCCCAAGAGUUCAUAUCGACGGCGGUGUUUGGCACCUCGAUGUCGGCUCAUCACAUCCUGGGGCUGAAGUAGGUCCCAAGGGUAUGGCUGUUCGCCAUUUAAAGUGGUACGCGAGCUGGGUUUAGAACGUCGUGAGACAGUUCGGUCCCUAUCUGCCGUGGGCGCUGGAGAACUGAGGGGGGCUGCUCCUAGUACGAGAGGACCGGAGUGGACGCAUCACUGGUGUUCGGGUUGUCAUGCCAAUGGCACUGCCCGGUAGCUAAAUGCGGAAGAGAUAAGUGCUGAAAGCAUCUAAGCACGAAACUUGCCCCGAGAUGAGUUCUCCCUGAGACUUAGAGUCUCCUGAAGGAACGUUGAAGACGACGACGUUGAUAGGCCGGGUGUGUAAGCGCAGCGAUGCGUUGAGCUAACCGGUACUAAUGAACCGUGAGGCUUAACCUU